CCCCUAGACGUUCUGGGCUGCACGCGCGCUACAAUAAUACGCACAGCGAGUAUCACCGAGCUCGAAAGGGCAAGGUAAACAAUAGAAAAGGUACUGUAAUGGUUAUAGAUCCUUGUAAUUAUUGAUCUUCAACGAGGAAUUCCUAGUAAGUAUGUGUCAUCAUCACGCACUGAUUACGUCCCUGCCCUUUGUACACACCGCCCGUCGCUCCUACCGAUUGGGUGAGCCGAUGAAACUCUCGGAUGUAGGCUAUUCAUAGCCCGCAGAAGAGAUUUGAAUCGUAGCGCUUAGAGGAAGUAGAAGUCGUAACA
rnacentral:rRNA from 1 species